GACGAACGCUGGCGGCGUGCCUAAUACAUGCAAGUUGAGCGCUGAAGGUUGGUACUUGUACCGACUGGAUGAGCAGCGAACGGGUGAGUAACGCGUGGGGAAUCUGCCUUUGAGCGGGGGACAACAUUUGGAAACGAAUGCUAAUACCGCAUAAAAACUUUAAACACAAGGUUUAAGUUUGAAAGAUGCAAUUGCAUCACUCAAAGAUGAUCCCGCGUUGUAUUAGCUAGUUGGUGAGGUAAAGGCUCACCAAGGCGAUGAUACAUAGCCGACCUGAGAGGGUGAUCGGCCACAUUGGGACUGAGACACGGCCCAAACUCCUACGGGAGGCAGCAGUAGGGAAUCUUCGGCAAUGGACGAAAGUCUGACCGAGCAACGCCGCGUGAGUGAAGAAGGUUUUCGGAUCGUAAAACUCUGUUGGUAGAGAAGAACGUUGGUGAGAGUGGAAAGCUCAUCAAGUGACGGUAACUACCCAGAAAGGGACGGCUAACUACGUG
rnacentral:rRNA from 1 species